rnacentral:lncRNA from 1 species
GUCCACCCGGCCCUUCGGGGCCCUCCGCAAGGACUUCCGGAUGACGCCCCCGCUCUCUGCUCUCGGGUUUCCCAAACCCCACCAGGCUGCGCGUUAGAGCGCACGGCACCUGCGAACAGCGGGGCUGCAGACCGCCGGUUCUGACCCGCUGCUCCUCCCAGCGCCCGCGGCUCCUUGCGGCGUGGGCGCCGCCCUGGCCAGUGACCGGGCUGGGACGUGGAGCCCCAGGGCCCACUGCAUCCCAGCCCUGACUAACCCUGGGCCAAUGCCCUGACCCCACGCAUCUCCAUGUGCCCACUGUCAGGACCUCCUUCCUGGGGUGGUCCUGGGGCUGCACCAGCCUCCCGCGUACAGCGCCCAGCCCGGUGAACCUGGCCCCGGAUAAACCUUCCUUAGCUCUCCUCAGGCCCAGGAAGGCGUCCUAUCGGCCCCCUCCCUGGCCACACUCCUCUCCCCUCAGCCCCUGCCAGGCCUGAGUCUAGGUCUCGGGAGCCCCCGGGGCCUCUCCCCGGAGAGGAGGCCCGGUUCACGCGCCCCCAGCGAGCUGGCCAGGCUUGGAGAUGACUUGGGCAAGGGGCUCUGCUCAGUGUGACCGUCCACACACAGGCGUAUCAGUCCAUCUCUGUGCUCUGAUGAGAGUCGGGCAACCCCUGCCCAGGCCCCAGCCCCCACCCCAGCCUCCCUGGUGUGCUCAGACACCUUCCUUCCAGACACAGCAUUGUGGGCCUCAUGUCUGACUGCAGCCUCCCCCCAGUGUCGGCAACAAAACUGCACCCACCGGGGAACCUCUAUAUGGUGAGCUUGGAACCCCUUCGCAUGUUCUCCAUCAUUAAAUAUUUCUUAAUCCUCACACUGCUGCAAAGAAGCCCCCUUCUUGUGCUCUCGGGGC